AGAAUCAACGCUGGCGGCGUGCCUAACACAUGCAAGUCGAACGAGAAAGUGGAGCAAUCCAUAAGUAAAGUGGCGCACGGGUGAGUAACACGUGACUAACCUACCCUGGAGUGGGGAAUAACUGAGGGAAACCUUAGCUAAUACCGCAUAACACCUACGGGUCAAAGGAGCAAUUCGCUUUGGGAGGGGGUCGCGGCAGAUUAGCUAGUUGGCGGGGUAAUGGCCCACCAAGGCGAUGAUCUGUAUCCGGCCUGAGAGGGCGCACGGACACACUGGAACUGAAACACGGUCCAGACUCCUACGGGAGGCAGCAGUGGGGAAUUUUGCGCAAUGGGGGAAACCCUGACGCAGCAACGCCGCGUGGAGGAUGAAGUCCCUUGGGACGUAAACUCCUUUCGAUCGGGACGAUAAUGACGGUACCGGAAGAAGAGCCCGGCUAACUUCGUGCCAGCAGCCGC
rnacentral:rRNA from 1 species